rnacentral:rRNA from 1 species
UCGAGGGGCGGCUACACAUGCAAGUCGAGCGGUAGCACAGGAGAGCUUGCUCUCUGGGUGACGAGCGGCGGACGGGUGAGUAAUGUCUGGGAAACUGCCUGAUGGAGGGGGAUAACUACUGGAAACGGUAGCUAAUACCGCAUAACGUCUACGGACCAAAGUGGGGGACCUUCGGGCCUCACGCCAUCAGAUGUGCCCAGAUGGGAUUAGCUAGUAGGUGGGGUAAUGGCUCACCUAGGCGACGAUCCCUAGCUGGUCUGAGAGGAUGACCAGCCACACUGGAACUGAGACACGGUCCAGACUCCUACGGGAGGCAGCAGUGGGGAAUAUUGCACAAUGGGCGCAAGCCUGAUGCAGCCAUGCCGCGUGUGUGAAGAAGGCCUUAGGGUUGUAAAGCACUUUCAGCGAGGAGGAAGGGUAGUGUGUUAAUAGCACAUUGCAUUGACGUUACUCGCAGAAGAAGCACCGGCUAACUCCGUGCCAGCAGCCGCGGUAAUACGGAGGGUGCAAGCGUUAAUCGGAAUUACUGGGCGUAAAGCGCACGCAGGCGGUUUGUUAAGUCAGAUGUGAAAUCCCCGCGCUUAACGUGGGAACUGCAUUUGAAACUGGCAAGCUAGAGUCUUGUAGAGGGGGGUAGAAUUCCAGGUGUAGCGGUGAAAUGCGUAGAGAUCUGGAGGAAUACCGGUGGCGAAGGCGGCCCCCUGGACAAAGACUGACGCUCAGGUGCGAAAGCGUGGGGAGCAAACAGGAUUAGAUACCCUGGUAGUCCACGCUGUAAACGAUGUCGAUUUGGAGGUUGUGCCCUUGAGGCGUGGCUUCCGGAGCUAACGCGUUAAAUCGACCGCCUGGGGAGUACGGCCGCAAGGUUAAAACUCAAAUGAAUUGACGGGGGCCCGCACAAGCGGUGGAGCAUGUGGUUUAAUUCGAUGCAACGCGAAGAACCUUACCUACUCUUGACAUCCAGAGAACUUUCCAGAGAUGGAUUGGUGCCUUCGGGAACUCUGAAACAGGUGCUGCAUGGCUGUCGUCAGCUCGUGUUGUGAAAUGUUGGGUUAAGUCCCGCAACGACNCAACCCUUAUCCUUUGUUNCAGCGAUUCGGUCGGGAACUCAAAGGAANUGCCGGUGAUAAACCGGAAGAAGGUGGGGAUGACGUCAAGUCAUUUGGCCCUUACAAAUAGGCUACCACGGGCUACAAGGGCUUUUAAAAGAGA